rnacentral:rRNA from 1 species
GGAGUAUGUGGUUUAAUUCGAUGCAACGCGAAGAACCUUACCUGGUCUUGACAUCCCAGAGAUCCCUUGGAAACUUGGGAGUGCUUCCAUUAGGAAGAAUCUGGAGACAGGUGCUGCAUGGCUGUCGUCAGCUCGUGUCGUGAGAUGUUGGGUUAAGUCCCGCAACGAGCGCAACCCUUAUCCCUAGUUGCCAUCAGGUAAAGCUGGGAACUCUGGGGAGACUGCCGGUGAUAAACCGGAGGAAGGCGGGGAUGACGUCAAGUCCUCAUGGCCCUUACAUCCCGGGCUACACACGUGCUACAAUGGCAGGUACAGAGGGCUGCGAAGCCGCGAGGUGGAGCGAAUCCCAGAAAACCUGUCUCAGUCCGGAUUGAAGUCUGCAACUCGACUUCAUGAAGGCGGAAUCGCUAGUAACCGCGAAUCAGCAGGUCGCGGUGAAUACGUUCCCGGGCCUU